rnacentral:rRNA from 1 species
GAUGAACGCUAGCUACAGGCUUAACACAUGCAAGUCGAGGGGCAGCGGGAUUGAAGCUUGCUUCAAUUGCCGGCGACCGGCGCACGGGUGAGUAACGCGUAUCCAACCUUCCGCUUACUCGGGGAUAGCCUUUCGAAAGAAAGAUUAAUACCCGAUGGUAUCUUAGGCACGCAUGAGAUUAAGAUUAAAGAUUUAUCGGUAAGCGAUGGGGAUGCGUUCCAUUAGGCAGUUGGCGGGGUAACGGCCCACCAAACCUACGAUGGAUAGGGGUUCUGAGAGGAAGGUCCCCCACAUUGGAACUGAGACACGGUCCAAACUCCUACGGGAGGCAGCAGUGAGGAAUAUUGGUCAAUGGGCGAGAGCCUGAACCAGCCAAGUAGCGUGAAGGAUGACGGCCCUACGGGUUGUAAACUUCUUUUGUGCGGGAAUAAAGGAGCCUACGUGUAGGCUUUUGCAUGUACCGUAACGAAUAAGCAUCGGCUAACUCCGUGCCAGCAGCCGCGGUAAUACGGAGGAUGCGAGCGUUAUCCGGAUUUAUUGGGUUUAAAGGGAGCGUAGACGGGUUUUUAAGUCAGCUGUGAAAGUUUGGGGCUCAACCUUAAAAUUGCAGUUGAAACUGGAGACCUUGAGUACGGUUGAGGCAGGCGGAAUUCGUGGUGUAGCGGUGAAAUGCUUAGAUAUCACGAAGAACCCCGAUUGCGAAGGCAGCCUGCUAAGCCGCCACUGACGUUGAGGCUCGAAAGUGCGGGUAUCAAACAGG